AGGGCACCAGUCACGUGCAGCAGUUGUAAUUAACUGGUGAAAUUAAUGACUGUCAUCUCUUAGCCGGUGACGCGGGCAGAGGAGGACGCUCCCUGCACAAGCUGUGCGUCUGGCGAGGGAAUUCUCUGCCCCGCUGUGCCAAGAACGUGUGCGUCAGAUUCUCAUGCGAACUUCCUAUGUCUAUAUAAGAGGGAGUAGGAAGCUCACACCUCGCACCUCGCAUCCCCAGCAGCAGAAGUACCAGAAGCAAGAGGAGAAGUAGGGACGGCGUGUUGUGAGCGAGGAUGCAUAUCUGACGCAACUUAGCAUUACCAGAGCGUGGCAGCACAUUAGGCAAGGCGCGCUGCUCGCCUAAGACAAACACGAGGAAGAUCCUAACACCCGCCUCGCCCAGUUCUCGCAGAGUAGGGCAAGAUAACAACGCUUAACAACCUCCCAGCACAAAAGCCGUGUUUCCCAGCGGCUUCUCUCGCUACGGCGCUCUCGACUCUGCCUGGGCCUUCCUGGAAAGGACCAUAAUGCCCGCCGCCCAUUGUCCGUCCAGUCCCGGGAAAUGACUGAUGAGAGAUGAAGAGACGUCACAGAGGAAAGAAAGAACUUGGGUAGUAUGUCAGACCGAUGGAAGAAGAGAAGAAAAAGAAGAGAAAGAAUAAUAAUAACAAGAAAAGAAAGAAAUGUGCGGGACCAGAAGCAGGAAGAAGUGCAAUAAUCAUAAGAAAAAAGAAAAACGAGGAAGGAGGAGGAGGAGGAAGAAAAGGAGCAGGAAGAGGAGGAUGAGAUGACGUCCAGGUGUAGCACAUUAUUAAUAACGUAAAUUACAGGUGUGAGGGAAGGAAGCAGGAGGCAGGGCGCUGGAUGGAGGAGGGAGCACUGCCGGUCACGAGGCGGAAGACGAAAUGAGACGCACGAAGCAGUUUGGUGAAUGCGAAUGCAGUGAAAUGUAGAAAAAAAAAAAAAAAGUGAGGUGUGUCAGAAUAUUGUGGUGCGUGCGGGGAGCGAGGAAAAUACGGAGGGUGCAAGACACGUUGGAAAGGAGGUGGACAGGAGGAAUAAUUAGAAAAAGUAAAAAAAAAUAAUAAUAAUAGCAUGACUUGUCAAAUAAGACGUGUCAAAGAACAGAAAAAAAAUGCAUCUCCACGCAGUAAACACCUUGAAAUAAUAAGGAAAAUGACUUUAUAACAAAAAAUUAAGACCUUCAUACUGCAAAAACUCACAAAAGCUUAUAUCAAACGAAGUAAUCACACAAACCAACACUGGAAUUAUGUACAACUCUAUGAUUACUGGACAAGAGUAGUGACGUAAACACUGCGGUAGAUGACCUGAAAAGGAGGAGGUGGGGAUGGGGGAGUAGGAGAUGGAGGAAGGAAGGAAGGAAGGAGGGAAAAACAGCCGCCAGUGAUUGGUAGUGAUUGUAAAUAAACAACAAGUGAUGUGUUUCGGCGGGCAGCGUUGACAGGGUGUGAGGUGGUGAUCGGUAGAGGCAGGCAGCCAGUCAACGCCGCCAAACAUGCAACAGUAAACACAGACAGAGAGAGAGAGAGAGAGAGAGAGAGAGAGAGAGAGAGAGAGAGAGAGAGAGAGAGAUGUGUAUGAUUUUAAUUUGAAAUGAGUCUUUUUAGUUCAGCCUUUCACUUAAAAUGAAUUUCCUGAGUAAUAUAAAUUUCAAUGGCAUGUUUGUGAGUUUUUUUACAGUCAAAGAACAGGAAGAGGGAACAGCCCGAGUUAAAACCUGAUGCGAUCUUAUGUUAGAAUAGAAUUGACCUUUAAACACAGAGAGACGUGACAUAACUAACAGCUGUGUAGCAUUGAAUGAGAACUUGCAUUAGUCAAGCCAAACCUUAACGCGUACAGACACUUUAGGCCAGAAGACUUAUGUGGCCUCGUGAUACAGACAGAAGCACAGACACGACCUUCUACGAACAGACAGUGACUUUAGGGUACAAAAUGAGAUGCGUCCGUCACGCCAACACGACCACUGACAUUUUGGGUCUAUACAUGUGGCUCCGUGUAUACCAUAUGGAGGCGGCAGUGACAGGAGGGUGUGGUAGAAGAACGUGCGCUGU